UACAGGCUUAACACAUGCAAGUCGAGGGGCAGCAUGGUCUUAGCUUGCUAAGGCCGAUGGCGACCGGCGCACGGGUGAGUAACACGUAUCCAACCUGCCGUCUACUCUUGGACAGCCUUCUGAAAGGAAGAUUAAUACAAGAUGGCAUCAUGAGUCCGCAUGUUCACAUGAUUAAAGGUAUUCCGGUAGACGAUGGGGAUGCGUUCCAUUAGAUAGUAGGCGGGGUAACGGCCCACCUAGUCUUCGAUGGAUAGGGGUUCUGAGAGGAAGGUCCCCCACAUUGGAACUGAGACACGGUCCAAACUCCUACGGGAGGCAGCAGUGAGGAAUAUUGGUCAAUGGGCGAGAGCCUGAACCAGCCAAGUAGCGUGAAGGAUGACUGCCCUAUGGGUUGUAAACUUCUUUUAUAAAGGAAUAAAGUCGGGUAUGCAUACCCGUUUGCACGUACUUUAUGAAUAAGGAUCGGCUAACUCCGUGCCAGCAGCCGCGGUAAUACGGAGGAUCCGAGCGUUAUCCGGAUUUAUUGGGUUUAAAGGGAGCGUAGAUGGAUGUUUAAGUCAGUUGUGAAAGUUUGCGGCUCAACCGUAAAAUUGCAGUUGAUACUGGAUAUCUUGAGUGCAGUUGAGGCAGGCGGAAUUCGUGGUGUAGCGGUGAAAUGCUUAGAUAUCACGAAGAACUCCGAUUGCGAAGGCAGCCUGCUAAGCUGCAACUGACAUUGAGGCUCGAAAGUGUGGGUAUCAAACAGGAUUAGAUACCCUGGUAGUCCACACGGUAAACGAUGAAUACUCGCUGUUUGCGAUAUACAGCAAGCGGCCAAGCGAAAGCGUUAAGUAUUCCACCUGGGGAGUACGCCGGCAACGGUGAAACUCAAAGGAAUUGACGGGGGCCCGCACAAGCGGAGGAACAUGUGGUUUAAUUCGAUGAUACGCGAGGAACCUUACCCGGGCUUAAAUUGCAGAUGAAUUACGGUGAAAGCCGUAAGCCGCAAGGCAUCUGUGAAGGUGCUGCAUGGUUGUCGUCAGCUCGUGCCGUGAGGUGUCGGCUUAAGUGCCAUAACGAGCGCAACCCUUGUUGUCAGUUACUAACAGGUUCCGCUGAGGACUCUGACAAGACUGCCAUCGUAAGAUGUGAGGAAGGUGGGGAUGACGUCAAAUCAGCACGGCCCUUACGUCCGGGGCUACACACGUGUUACAAUGGGGGGUACAGAGGGCCGCUACCACGCGAGUGGAUGCCAAUCCCAAAAACCUCUCUCAGUUCGGACUGGAGUCUGCAACCCGACUCCACGAAGCUGGAUUCGCUAGUAAUCGCGCAUCAGCCACGGCGCGGUGAAUACGUUCCCGGGCCUUGUACACACCGCCCGUCAAGCCAUGGGAGCCGGGGGUACCUGAAGUGCGUAACCGCGAGGAGCGCCCUAGGGUAAAACUGGUGACUGGGGCUAAGUCAUAAC
rnacentral:rRNA from 1 species